rnacentral:rRNA from 1 species
GUAACACAUCGGAACAUACCCAGUCGUGGGGGAUAACACUUCGAAAGAAGUGCUAAUACCGCAUACGUCCUGAGGGAGAAAGCGGGGGAUCUUCGGACCUCGCGCGAUUGGAGUGGCCGAUGUCAGAUUAGCUAGUUGGUGGGGUAAAGGCCUACCAAGGCGACGAUCUGUAGCUGGUCUGAGAGGACGACCAGCCACACUGGGACUGAGACACGGCCCAGACUCCUACGGGAGGCAGCAGUGGGGAAUUUUGGACAAUGGGGGCAACCCUGAUCCAGCCAUUCCGCGUGAGUGAAGAAGGCCUUCGGGUUGUAAAGCUCUUUCGGCAGGAACGAAACGGCACGCUCUAACAUAGCGUGUUAAUGACGGUACCUGAAGAAGAAGCACCGGCUAACUACGUGCCAGCAGCCGCGGUAAUACGUAGGGUGCGAGCGUUAAUCGGAAUUACUGGGCGUAAAGCGUGCGCAGGCGGUUGUGUAAGACAGGUGUGAAAUCCCCGGGCUUAACCUGGGAACUGCGCUUGUGACUGCACGGCUAGAGUAUGGCAGAGGGGGGUGGAAUUCCACGUGUAGCAGUGAAAUGCGUAGAGAUGUGGAGGAACACCGAUGGCGAAGGCAGCCCCCUGGGCCAAUACUGACGCUCAUGCA